AUUGAACGCUGGCGGCAGGCCUAACACAUGCAAGUCGAACGGUAACAGGAAGCAGCUUGCUGCUUCGCUGACGAGUGGCGGACGGGUGAGUAAUGUCUGGGAAGCUGCCUGAUGGAGGGGGAUAACUACUGGAAACGGUAGCUAAUACCGCAUAAUGUCGCAAGACCAAAGAGGGGGACCUUCGGGCCUCUUGCCAUCGGAUGUGCCCAGAUGGGAUUAGCUUGUUGGUGGGGUAAAGGCUCACCAAGGCGACGAUCCCUAGCUGGUCUGAGAGGAUGACCAGUCACACUGGAACUGAGACACGGUCCAGACUCCUACGGGAGGCAGCAGUGGGGAAUAUUGCACAAUGGGCGCAAGCCUGAUGCAGCCAUGCCGCGUGUAUGAAGAAGGCCUUCGGGUUGUAAAGUACUUUCAGCGGGGAGGAAGGGAGGAAAGUUAAUACCUUGGCGCAUUGACGUUACCCGCAGAAGAAGCACCGGCUAACUCCGUG
rnacentral:rRNA from 1 species